UAUCGACGGCGAACUGUUUCUCCCCCAAAUCGAAUCGAAGAACCCUAGAGGAGAAGACCCAACGGCGGCGUGGCUAGAUUCCGUCUUCGGCGGGCGUCUCCGACGGCGGCUAGAGGAAGCGGAGGGCAUCAGCUGGAGGGACGGGUUAGUAUCCAUCCGCAUGGGACGAUUUGGUUUGUUUAAUCGAUUUGGUUGUGUGCUGGCGGAUUGUUUAAUCGAUUUGCGCGUCCUUAGCAAUUGUUUAUGGAUUCCAUUCUUUAUUGCUUUGAUCUGGUGCAUGUGCUUGCGAUUGUGGCUGUGGAUGAUUAUAUUACUAGCUGUUACACAGUUGAAGAAUUCAACGAAACCUACAGCUAUUGCCUUAUGCCAGUUGAAGGCAUGCAGAGUUGGCCUCAGUCUGAUAGGCCACCACUAGAGGCUCCAGGUUAUGUAAAGAUGCCAGGAAGGCCCAAGAAAGAGAGGAAAAGGGAGUCACAUGAGAAACCAAAAGCUGCAAAAAAUUCUAGAGUGGGCACAGUUAUUAGAUGUAGGAAAUGCAAGGGAAUUGGGCACAAUAAGUCUACUUGUGACAAAAGAAAUGGUGGCCAAUCUGGUGGGAUACCAGUCAAUGCAGAGAACAGUGCUGCACAUGCUAACUUCUCAGAUGUUCAAGCAACACCAAAUGUGGUCUCUACAACUCAGCAGAGCUCUGCUGGAACUAGAGGAACAACAUCAGACACUAUAAACAGAGACAACAAACACUACAGUUAAUAGAAAGAGGAAGGCAGCAACCAAAGAUGGUAAGGGAACCAAGUCUGUUGUUAGAUCAUCUGCUAAAGCAAAAGUGCAUACAACAUCAACUGGCAGAGUUGAAAUAAAUUUGCAUGCCAUUGUGCCUUCAUCCCAAGCAAGCUCAAGUGUCACCAUCAAUAUGACUUCUGGUAAGGCACAAGCACAUGUCGAAGCACAAGAACCUUCAAGGAAAAAGCUUCAAGUGAGGAGAUCAUCUCAAGCCCCAGUGUUACUCCUCGGAGGUCCUAGUGAACAAAAUUAAGUGUCUAUCUGUGUGACAAUUUUAUGUGUUUGUAAUGCCAAACUGUUGGCUCCUAAAUUCUGUGUGUGUGAACUUGAUCUCAUUUGUUUGUAAAGCCAAACUGUUGGCUCCUGUGUGUGCACUUUAUUUUCAUCUGUAUGUGACAAUGUGUGUUUUCAAUGAUUGAUGUGCAACUGAACCAGUCACCAUCAUGAACAUAAA